AGAACGAACGCUGGCGGCAGGCUUAACACAUGCAAGUCGAACGGUUGUAGCAAUACAGCAGUGGCAGACGGGUGAGUAACACGUGGGAACCUUCCUAGGGGUACGGAACAACUCAGGGAAACUUGAGCUAAUACCGUAUACGUCCGUGAGGAGAAAGAUUUAUCGCCCCUAGACGGGCCCGCGUAGGAUUAGGUAGUUGGUGAGGUAACGGCUCACCAAGCCUACGAUCCUUAGCUGAUCUGAGAGGAUAGAUCAGCCACACGUGGGACUGAGACACCGGCCCAGACCUCCGUACGGGAGCAGCAGGUGGGAAUUCGUAGGA
rnacentral:rRNA from 1 species